AGUGAACGCUGGCGGUAGGCCUAACACAUGCAAGUCGAACGGCAGCACAGGAGAGCUUGCUCUCUGGGUGGCGAGUGGCGGACGGGUGAGGAAUACAUCGGAAUCUACUCUGUCGUGGGGGAUAACGUAGGGAAACUUACGCUAAUACCGCAUACGACCUACGGGUGAAAGCAGGGGACCUUCGGGCAUUGCGCGAUGGAAUGAGCCGAUGGCGGAUUAGCUAGUUGGCGGGGUAAAGGCCCACCAAGGCGACGAUCCGUAGCUGGUCUGAGAGGAUGAUCAGCCACACUGGAACGGAGACACGAUCCAGACGCCGACGGGAGGCAGCAGUGGGGAAUAUUGGACAAUGUGCGCUAGCCUGAUCCAGCCAUACCGCGUGGGUGAAGAAGGCCUUCAGGUUUUAAAGCCCUUUUGUUGUGAAAGAAAUCCAGCUGGCUAAUACCCGGUUGGGAUGGCGGUACCCAAAGAAUAAGCACCGGCUAACUUCGUUCCAGCCGCCGCCGUAA
rnacentral:rRNA from 1 species